rnacentral:rRNA from 1 species
GACGAACGCUGGCGGCGUGCCUAAUACAUGCAAGUAGAACGCUGAAGGAGGAGCUUGCUUCUCUGGAUGAGUGGCGCACGGGUGAGUAAAGCGUAGGUAACCUGCAUGGAAGAGGGGGAUAACUAUUGGAAACAAUAGCUAAUACAGCAUAAUAGUUGAUGUUGCAUGACAUUUGCUUAAAAGGUGCAAUUGCAUCACUACCAGAAGGACCUGCGUCGUAUUAGCUAGUAGGUGGGGUAACGGCUGAUCAAGGCAACGAUACAUAGUCGACCUGGGGGGGGUGACGGCCACCCCGGGACUGGGACACGGCCCCGACUCCCUACGGGAGCAGCCGUAGGGGAACUUCGGCCAUUGGCGGAAGUCCUACCGGGCCACGCCGGGGGGGUGAAUGAGGUUUUCGGGUCCUAAAGCUCUUUUGUUUGGGAAGAACCAGUUUGGGAAUUGAAUGUUCACACUGUGACGGUAUCUUACCAGAAAGCCACGGCUAACUACGUG